CGAGGUGUAGCGCAGAUGGUAGCGCGCUUGGUUCGGGACCAAGAGGUCGCGUGUUCGAAUCCCGUCACCUCGACCA
rnacentral:tRNA from 2 species